CAGAAUGGAAUGAAUUUUGGACAAAGACCAAAGUUCAAGUCGUGGAUUUGCCAUGGUGAGACCCUGAGCAAAUCACAUCUUCCUGAGCUGCAGAUUCUUAUCUAUUGGAGAACUAGUCAUCAAAAAACCCUGCUGGCACAAAAAACAUCUUGAAUUUAAGAACACAGUAACAGGCAAACAUGACUAAUGGUCCAACCGAAGCCCCAACUUGGAGUGAUAAACAUUUGUGAAAGGCUCAUCUCCAACUCCCAAUCACUCAUUCCUCUGCUCUUUGUAAACUGACUAUACCUACACCUGUUACUGAACUGAACGUGGAUCCACCUGCCCAGCAGCAAAGCCAAAUACUGACUCUGGGAUUCCAGCAGGACAAGGUGAGACGUUGAUUGUUGGGCCCCAAGCACGGAGAAUCAGGAAGAUCACGAUCCAGAUCCAGAUUCCCUGAUGGCUCGCAGGUUAGCUGGGCAUGCUGGCAUGUGCCUGUAGUCCCAACUGCUCAAGAGGCUGACACUGAAGGAUCAUUUGAUCCGAGGAGUUUCAAGGCCAGCUUGGGCAACAUAGUGAGACCGCUGUCUCAAAAAAAAAAUUCCUCCAAGUCAUCUCUGGUUCUAUAGAAACUAAAAAGCAACAGAGUGUUAAGGAGAAGUUACCUGUGUCACGCUCUUGUAGAAAAAAAUGUCCUCCUGGGCAUGAAGUCUCUCCCAUACUCCGGGACCACUCACAAGCCAAGGAGAGAAGUUCCGAAGGCAGGGCUGGAGGAGAAGACUCAGAGAUCAUCUAGGAACUGAGGCUACAUGUGCUGGCUCCCAAAUUUGCUAUUGCUCCUUCUUCAAUCAAAAGAUGGUGUGUCCCAAAUGCAUAGGACAAUGGGAAUUACAACAGAGGAGCAUGGCGGGAAUGUGAAGACAGAAGACCAAAGGAAAUAAGCUUCCAUAACUGAAGUUGCCUUCUUGCAUUAUUAUUAUAACUAAAGGUGCAAAACAUGCCAACUUAAAUUGCAAAAUCUCUAAAAGCUCCCCAUGCAAUGCCAGUGAAUUUCAAUUUUUCUCUUUAAAAUAAACA